UACGUAGGUGACAAGCGUUGUCCGGAUUUACUGGGCGUAAAGAGCGCGCAGGCGGUCGAUCAAGUCGAGUGUGAAAGCCCCCGGCUCAACUGGGGAGGGUCAUUCGAUACUGAUCGACUCGAAGGCAGGAGAGGGUAGUGGAAUUCCGGGUGUAGCGGUGGAAUGCGUAGAGAUCCGGAAGAACACCAGUGGCGAAGGCGGCCCGCUGGGCAGUGGCUGACGCUGAAGCGCGACAGCGUGGGGAGCAAACAGG
rnacentral:rRNA from 1 species